UAGCUGCAGAUACACGACUAUAUAACCCCUCUAAUACUCAGCCCACACAGUCAAGCUGACCAGUUAUCCACUGAAGAAAGGCAGAUCAGAGAAGCUGAACUGUUUCCAUUGAAGAUCAACAUCUCUCUGUGGAAAAGUUCUGACAUAGGAAACUUCACAGGGAAAUAUUGCUAGAAGCCAACGGAACAAUAGCAGCAUAAAGAGAGCGGAAAGAAGGUUUGUUAGAAGAAAGGAUCGGCGUAAAAGACAGGAUUGGGGGUCGGUUAUGUUGGCGGAGGCCACAGUGAUGUGCGGUGUGGGGGGUGCGGGUACAGCUGACCUGGAGUGUAGCGUCCUGGAGGAGGACUGGCAGACAGGCCAGAGCUACGUGGCUCACUGGCACAGCCUCACCUUCGUACCACAGCAUCACCAACGUCCAGUGAUGGAGGCCGAGCGCUCUGGAAACCACUGGGAGGCCAGGAGGCUCCUCCAGAGAUUCCUCUCGGGUGCCAUUAGCAAGAAUUACCCACAUCCCAAAACACACCUGACCAGACGACCCCAUCAGUCCCUAUCCGACCCCUCUGCCCGGGAUCAUAAACAGAAGGAAGAGUGUUGUGUGACAACAAGAGCAAAGAGCGUCAGAGACGAGUGAGAGGAAGUCGAAGGUGGCAACGUUGCUUGGAUUCCUGGGCUUUAUAAACAUAUUCAAUAUUUCAACAAAUCCAAAAUAUUCUAUUGUACCCACUUUUCCAGUUUAUUUAAUUAGUGAUAGAUUUGUGAUGUGUUUGGAAUAAAUUCCAAUUAAAAGGUAUCUGGGUUUUUUUGCUAAAAGCAUGACAUAUACAAAUCGAUGUAUUUUAUUUAGUUUUUGAGGAAAUUGAAACUGUCUAAGAAAUAUUCAAUCAUUAGAAUGAAACAUUUUGAUUUACGCUCACACUGCGAUACGUUGUUGAUAUUUUCAGGCUGUAGGUUUUGUAUGACAGUUUUAUCUUCAUUAUAUCUGUGUCAAGAUAGAUUUGUAUACAAAAUGUGACACUUGUGGAGAAGACUGAGGUAAAGAUUGAACUUUCAUGUAUUUAAUUUAGAUUAUAAUGAUCAGUUUUCUGUUAAUCUGAAAAAUAAAUAAAAUUGAGGAUCUAUA